rnacentral:rRNA from 1 species
UAGGGAAUCUUCGGCAAUGGGGGGAACCCUGACCGAGCAACGCCGCGUGAGUGAAGAAGGUUUUCGGAUCGUACAGCUCUGUUGUUAAGGAAGAACGAGUGUGAGAAUGGAAAGUUCAUGCUGUGACGGUACUUAACCAGAAAGGGACGGCUAACUACGUGCCAGCAGCCGCGGUAAUACGUAGGUCCCGAGCGUUGUCCGGAUUUAUUGGGGGUAAAGCGAGCGCAGGCGGUUAGAAAAGUCUGAAGUGAAAAGCAGUGGCUCAACCAUUGAAGGCUUUGGAAACUGUUUAACUUGAGUGCAGAAGGCGGGGGUGGAAUUCCACGUGUGGCGGUGAAAUGCGUAGAAAUAUGGAGAAAGAACGGUGGCGACAGCGGCUCUCUGGUCUGUAACUGACGCUGAGGCUCGAAAGCGGGGGGCGCGAACAUG